rnacentral:tRNA from 1 species
GCGGAAGUGGUGGAAUUGGUAGACGCGCUAGAUUCAGGGUCUAGUGUACGAAAGUACGUGGGGGUUCAAAUCCCCCCUUCCGCA